AUGUAAUCAUCAAAUCAUAAUCAUAAUUGAAGGAAAUUACAUUCAAUUUCACACUACCUUACAAGUUACAACAAUUAGGGUUUGUGGAGAGAGAUGGAGAUAGCUUUCUAAACUGAAGAAGGAGGAGAGUAAUUGCGGCGGCGGUGAUGGAUGGAGAAGGAGGAGAGUGAUCGCGGCUCACCGGCGGUAGUGGAUCGAUUUGCUUUGGUUGGGAGAAGAAAAGGAUCGCGUUUCUCACUUGUUCUCAGAUGAAAGAGAAACGGGAAGAGGAAAUGAAACUGAAUAGGAAAUAUUAGUACUAUAGAAGGAUAUUUUUGUAAUU
rnacentral:lncRNA from 1 species